CCUUGACCGGAAUCGAACCCGGGACCCUUCAGUCCGCAGACCGACGCUCUUAUCCACUGAGCCAAACCAGUUUCGGCUGCCUUUUAGUUUUAAGUUACUGCAACUCGGUGACCCUCUUAGGGUCAUUCAUUUCACACACCAGUACAUUCCUGUGUUUAAUUGAAAUGUACUGAGGAAAGGCGGUGUUGGCAAGGACACUGACUUCUCCGAAACGGUGAGCUGUUUGAGUCCUGGCCCUGACACUUGACCUUGGCCAGACUUCUGCCUUUUGUCAGUCCCUACCUUCCCUACCUUGCUAGGUGGUUGUGAGAGCUUAGCACGCACGCGAGCACUUUGCUGUUAAACCAUAAAGUGUAAUAUCUCUA